UGAGGAAUAUUGGUCAAUGGGCGAGAGCCUGAACCAGCCAAGUAGCGUGAAGGAUGACUGCCCUAUGGGUUGUAAACUUCUUUUAUAAAGGAAUAAAGUCGGGUAUGCAUACCCGUUUGCAUGUACUUUAUGAAUAAGGAUCGGCUAACUCCGUGCCAGCAGCCGCGGUAAUACGGAGGAUCCGAGCGUUAUCCGGAUUUAUUGGGUUUAAAGGGAGCGUAGAUGGAUGUUUAAGUCAGUUGUGAAAGUUUGCGGCUCAACCGUAAAAUUGCAGUUGAUACUGGAUAUCUUGAGUGCAGUUGAGGCAGGCGGAAUUCGUGGUGUAGCGGUGAAAUGCUUAGAUAUCACGAAGAACUCCGAUUGCGAAGGCAGCCUGCUAAGCUGCAACUGACAUUGAGGCUCGAAAGUGUGGGUAUCAAACAGGAUUAGAUACCCUGGUAGUCCACACGGUAAACGAUGAAUACUCGCUGUUUGCGAUAUACUGCAAGCGGCCAAGCGAAAGCGUUAAGUAUUCCACCUGGGGAGUACGCCGGCAACGGUGAAACUCAAAGGAAUUGACGGGGGCCCGCACAAGCGGAGGAACAUGUGGUUUAAUUCGAUGAUACGCGAGGAACCUUACCCGGGCUUAAAUUGCAGAUGAAUUACGGUGAAAGCCGUAAGCCGCAAGGCAUCUGUGAAGGUGCUGCAUGGUUGUCGUCAGCUCGUGCCGUGAGGUGUCGGCUUAAGUGCCAUAACGAGCGCAACCCUUGUUGUCAGUUACUAACAGGUUCCGCUGAGGACUCUGACAAGACUGCCAUCGUAAGAUGUGAGGAAGGUGGGGAUGACGUCAAAUCAGCACGGCCCUUACGUCCGGGGCUACACACGUGUUACAAUGGGGGGUACAGAGGGCCGCUACCACGCGAGUGGAUGCCAAUCCCCAAAACCUCUCUCAGUUCGGACUGGAGUCUGCAACCCGACUCCACGAAGCUGGAUUCGCUAGUAAUCGCGCAUCAGCCACGGCGCGGUGAAUACGUUCCC
rnacentral:rRNA from 1 species